UUAAUACAUGCAAGUCGUGGGGCAGCAUGAAAGUAGCAAUACUUUUGAUGGCGACCGGCAAACGGGUGCGGAACACGUACACAACCUCCCUCUAAGUAAGGAAUAGCCCAGGGAAACUUGGAUUAAUACUUUAUAGCAUAUUUGAAAGGCAUCUUUCGAAUAUUAAAGCUUCGGCGCUUUGAGAUGGGUGUGCGGCUGAUUAGAUAGUUGGUGAGGUAACGGCUCACCAAGUCUGCGAUCAGUAACUGGUGUGAGAGCACGACCAGUCACACGGGCACUGAGACACGGGCCCGACUCCUACGGGAGGCAGCAGUAAGGAAUAUUGGUCAAUGGACGAAAGUCUGAACCAGCCAUGCCGCGUGGAGGAUGAAGGUCCUCUGGAUUGUAAACUUCUUUUCUCUGUAAAGAAAUGCACGGUUUCUACUGUGUUUGGCGGUAACAGAGGAAUAAGCACCGGCUAACUCCGUGCCAGCAGCCGCGGUAAUACGGAGGGUGCAAGCGUUAUCCGGAUUCACUGGGUUUAAAGGGAGCGUAGGUGGGCAGAUAAGUCAGCGGUGAAAUACCUGAGCUUAACUCAGGAACUGCCAUUGAUACUGUCUGUCUUGAAUAUCGUAGAGGUUAGCGGAAUAUGUCAUGUAGCGGUGAAAUGCUUAGAUAUGACAUAGAACACCGAUUGCGAAGGCAGCUAGCUAUGCGAAUAUUGACACUGAGGCUCGAAAGCGUGGGGAUCAAACAGGAUUAGAUACCCUGGUAGUCCACGCCCUAAACUAUGGAUACUCGACAUUUGCGAUACACUGUAAGUGUCUGAGCGAAAGCAUUAAGUAUCCCACCUGGGAAGUACGACCGCAAGGUUGAAACUCAAAGGAAUUGGCGGGGGUCCGCACAAGCGGUGGAGCAUGUGGUUUAAUUCGAUGAUACGCGAGGAACCUUACCUGGGCUAGAAUGCGGUUUGACCGCUAGUGAAAGCUAGUCUUGUAGCAAUACA
rnacentral:rRNA from 1 species